ACGUUUUUAGAUAGAAUGUCAGCGGGAGUAUGUCCAGAGGAUUUGGCAAGAGGAUCAUCUGGACAAUAGCAAUACAUUUGAACUUCCCCUUAAUAUAGUUUGCAAACAACUUAUUUCCACCAACAAUAGCUGCCCGGCUUCAAAAAAUGUUUAUCUGCUGGAGUUCCACCCUUCCCUCAGCCUGGUAGCGCUUAUCCCCAAAGCCCUAGAGCACCUCUUCCAAGAGGCCUGCCAUGCCUGCAGACCCACAUCAGCCAGUGGCCUCGCCUCCCUGGAGCGACAUGUCCUGCAGCUGGCCCUGGGCCUGUGGCUCACCCCAGCCACGCCUGAAGCCUGCUACAGUGCACAGCUCCAGAAAGAUCUGUUUUCAGCUAAAGUUAUGGGAGAUCCCUUUCUCGUGGGGGAGAUAGGCCUGCUGGCAUUCAAGUCUGCAGCAGACGAAGGACAAAAAGAAGGCCAAGACUCUCAUGUGCUACUCUUGGAGAUGUUUUCCAAACUUUUGGAACUCUUGACCCUCCGCCACCGGCUGACAGAAAUGAGCCUGGAGAGUGCACACUUAGCUCAGUCAGUGGGGGUCAGAGGACCCAGGUGGAAUAUACGGUUUGCAGCAAAACAUGGGGGGAAACAGGCCAUGAGACUCCCUGCCUACAAGCCUACCCUCUCUCUGCUCCCAGAGCAGCCAGAGUUUUCUAAAUGGCUAACAUGAUCACCUUGCUCCCUAUCGGGGGAAACCCACCCCCAAUAUUCAACGUGGGUCCUUUUCUAUUUUCCUUAAGUGUCGGCUGGUCUGAGAAAUAAAAGGAAAGAGUACAAAAGAGAGAAAUUUUAAAGUUGGGUGUCUGGGGGAGACAUCACAUGUCGGCAGGUUCCGUGAUGUCCCCCAAGCCGCAAAACCAGCAAGUUUUCAUUAGUGAUUUUCAAAAGGGGAGGGGAUGUACAAAUAGGGUGUGGGUCACAGAGAUCACAUGCUUCACCAGGUAAUAAAAUAUCAUAAGGCAAAUGGAGGCAGGGCGAGAUCACAGGACUGGGGCAAAAUUAAAAUUGCUAAUGAAGUUUUGGCAUGCUUUGUCAUUGAUAACAUUUAAUCAGGAGACAGGGUUUGAGAGCAGACAACCAACCUGACCAAAAUUUAUUAGGCAGGAAUUUCCUCAUCCUAAUAAGCCUGGGAGUGCUACGGGAGACUGGGGUUUAUUUCAUCCCUUAUCUACAACUGUAAAAGACAGACGUUCCCAAAGCGGCCAUUUCAGAGGACUCCCCUUAGGAAUGCAUUCUCUUUCUCAGGGAUAUUCCUUGCUAAGACAAAGAAUUCCAUGAUAUUUCUCCUAUUUACUUUUGAAAGAACAGAAAUAUGGCUCUAUUCUGCCUGGCCCACAGGCAGCCAGACUUUAAGGUUAUCUCCAUUGCUGUUAUCCUGUUCUUUUUUCAAGGUGCCCAGAUUUCAUAUGUUUAAACAAUUUGUGCAGUUAACGCAAUUAUCACAAGGUCCUGAGGCGACAUUCAUCCUCAGCUUAUGAAGAUGACGGGA
rnacentral:lncRNA from 1 species